UAUGGAAAAAUUGGAGAAUGGCGAUUUGAUAAGAGAUCUUAUUUAAGCGGUCCUCCUCCAAAGAACCUCUCCUUACCCCCACCAGGAGUUCCUGAAAGUGUGGUAAGGCUUGUAAAGAUGGUAAAUGAAGCUACAGCUAAUAUUCCAGGUUGGGAGUCAAUAAACAGCAGUUGAAAUUGAAUUCAGUAUGAUUGCAUCCUCCGGAUGGAGAUUCAUUCAUACCAUUUACAGGGUAACAAAAGAGUGAUAUAGAUAGAAAAAUAGGAAAGCAUUUGCAACUAUAGCAGGGAUUUUGGAUUUUGACAUGGAAGGCUCUGAAUUCUUUUUGUACAAUUCUGCACAUUUGACAUUAGUGUUGAAUUUUGUAUCUUUGAAUGUUUCAGACCAUUAAGUUGAAAACUCCUUGUUGUCUGAGUUUGUAGUACUUGCAGCUUUUUGCAGGCCUUGUCACUAAUUGUAGCUCAUGGG
rnacentral:misc_RNA from 1 species